AAAGUCGUAACAAGGUUUCCGUAGGUGAACCUGCGGAAGGAUCAUUAUCAUAACGUAUCCACGUAUAAACCAAUUUCUUUAAUGAAUGUGAAUUGUAAUGUUUUUACAGCCUUUAGUAAUUAAUGAUUGCUAUCAAAAUUAUGAUUUUAUGGAUUAAGAAAUCUUUUGAUAGACCUGGCUUUCGGGCCUAGCAUUAAUUAUUGAAGUGUAAUUUAUUAAUCUACUUAUUAACCAAUUGAACCGAUUAACUUAACAGUUAUUCAUUCUUUUUAUUGUGAACUGAAUUGUUUCUUACUCGAAAUGCCUUUAAACAGUAUUUUGAGAAGAAAUUAUAUUUACGAAACAUAAAUUAUGAACAACUCUUAGCAACGGAUAUCUUGGUUCUC
rnacentral:misc_RNA from 1 species